rnacentral:rRNA from 1 species
AGAAACGGCUACCACAUCCAAGGAAGGCAGCAGGCGCGCAAAUUACCCACUCCCGGCUCGGGGAGGUAGUGACGAAAAAUAACAAUACGGGACUCUUUUGAGACCCCGUAAUUGGAAUGAGUACACUCUAAAUCCUUUAACGAGGAUCCAUUGGAGAGCAAGUCUGGUGCCAGCCGUCGCGGUAAUUCCAGCUCCAAUAGCGUAUAUUAAAGUUGUUGCGGUUAAAAAGCUCGUAGUUGGAUCUCAGCUCCGGCCGGGCGGUCCACCUUUCGGUGGUUACUGCUUGACGCCGAGCGUUUCGGCGGUUAUUCUUGAUGAUCUUCACCGGUUGUCUCGGGUGACCGCCAAGUUUACUUUGAAAAAAUUAGAGUGCUCAAAGCAGACGUGACGUCUGAAUAAUUGUGCAUGGAAUAAUGGAAUAGGACCUCGGUUCUAUUUUGUUGGUUUUCGGAACACGAGGUAAUGAUUAAGAGGGACAGACGGGGGCAUUCGUAUUGCGACGCUAGAGGUGAAAUUCUUGGACCGUCGCAAGACGAACUACUGCGAAAGCAUUUGCCAAGAAUGUUUCCAUUAAUCAAGAACGAAAGUUAGAGGUUCGAAGGCGAUCAGAUACCGCCCUAGUUCUAACCAUAAACGAUGCCAGCCAGCAAUCCGCCUGUGUUCCUCAAAUGACACGGCGGGCGGCUUCCGGGAAACCAAAGCUUUUGGGUUCCGGGGGAAGUAUGGUUGCAAAGCUGAAACUUAAAGGAAUUGACGGAAGGCCACUACCAGAAAUGGAGCCUGCGGCUUAAUUUGACUCAACACGGGGAAACUUACCCGGCCCGGACACAGGAAGGAUUGACAGAUUAAGAGCUCUUUCUUGAUUCUGUGGGUAGUGGUGCAUGGUCGUUCGUAGUUGGUGGGGCGACUUGUCUGGU